rnacentral:rRNA from 1 species
CUACGGGCUGCUCCAGUGAGGAAUAUUGCACAAUGGGGGGAACCCUGAUGCAGCAACGCCGCGUGGAGGAUGACGCAUUUCGGUGUGUAAACUCCUUUUAUAUGUCAAGAAAAUGACGGUAGCAUAUGAAUAAGCACCGGCUAACUCCGUGCGAGCAGCCGCGGUAAUACGGUGGGUGCAAGCGUUACUCGGAAUCACUGGGCGUAAAGGACGCGUAGGCGGGUUGGAAAGUCAGGUGUGAAAUCCUACAGCUUAACUGUAGAACUGCACUUGAAACUUCUAAUCUAGAGUAUGGGAGGGGGAGAUGGAAUUAGUGGUGUAGGGGUAAAAUCCGUAGAUAUCACUAGGAAUACCUAAAGCGAAGGCGAUCUCCUGGAACAUUACUGACGCUAAGGCGUGAAAGCGUGGGGAGCAAACAGGAUUAGAUACCCGUGUAGUC